UACGGAGGGUGCGAGCGUUGUCCGGAAUCAUUGGGCGUAAAGGGCGCGUAGGUGGCCUGCUAAGCGUGCGGUGAAAGCUCGGGGCUCAACCCCGAGUCGGCCGUGCGAACUGGUGGGCUUGAGCACUGUAGAGGCAGAUGGAAUUCCGGGUGUAGCGGUGGAAUGCGUAGAGAUCCGGAAGAACACCGGUGGCGAAGGCGGUCUGCUGGGCAGUAGCUGACACUGAGGCGCGACAGCGUGGGGAGCAAACAGG
rnacentral:rRNA from 1 species